rnacentral:rRNA from 1 species
UUAACCUUCGGGAGGACGCUUGCCACUUUGUGGUUCAUGACUGGGGUGAAGUCGUAACAAGGUAGCGCUAGGGGAACCUGGCGCUGGAUCACCUCCUUAUACGAUGAU